rnacentral:pre_miRNA from 1 species
GAGCCAAACCUCAGCGAUCCAGUUGCAUGCAACUGAAUCGCUCAAUUGCAUGCAACUGAAUCGCUCAUAUGUGGACG